UACUAAACAACGUAGACACAAAGCCCGACAGAUUAACAUUUGUGAUAAAAUUGAUCGACGGAAACUUCUGAAAUUGACAGCCCGGGCUAGAUUAUUUAUUGACAGUUGAUCAUACCUGGGUUAAGUAUCUUUUGAGAUCGAGAGUGGCUGGCACAGAAAGAGCUGUACACCUUGAAAUGGUUUGCGUAGAACAGAAACGAUCCACCCAGUGAAAACAGGACACGCUGUUAACGUAUAAAAACAGUUAGAAGAUUAAAAGAAAACAUAUUGGAGCCAAGAAUUGACUGUCCGGGCCUAUUGCCUCAACAAGGCUCUGCAGAAACUGCCGCUGGAACUGCGCGAUCUCCUGGAUAUUGCCGAAUAUAUGGUCAACCUCGUCCGAGCUCAGGAAGUUCUCCUCCUUUAAGGGCUCCAGGUAAUCUCAUUCCCAUAAACCUUACCUGUAAUAGUGUAUCAACCUGGUCCGAGGACUUCCUGCUUCUAGCACUACACUUUUUACCUGAAGAUGGUGGUGGUAGUUUUAAGCUGUCAAUGCUAUGAUCGCUGAGGCGUAUCUGGCUAGGGGGUGGGGGGAGUGUCGGUGGAGUCUCCAUGGCAACCGCUCCACUUGGCUCAAACAGGGAGCGGACAACAAAACAAAUGGCAGACGACUCGUCCUGUCAGGAUAUUGGUAACUUCCCUCUGGUGCACCCUGCAAUCGCACCCUGACAAAAUGAUCCCGAGGAUUGAGUUGUCGUCGGUUACACACAGCUAGUAAAACAUCAUCCGCAGUUGUAGUCUUCUUGAUCCCAACCG